GGGGAGUGACGUCAAGUCCUCAUGGCCCUUAUAGGUGGGGCUACACACGUCAUACAAUGGCUGGUACAAAGGGUUGCCAACCCGCGAGGGGGAGCCAAUCCCAUAAAGCCAGUCGUAGUCCGGAUCGCAGUCUGCAACUCGACUGCGUGAAGUCGGAAUCGCUAGUAAUCGUGGAUCAGCAUGUCACGGUGAAUACGUUCCCGGGUCUU
rnacentral:rRNA from 1 species